AUGGAGAAAACAAUUCACCCCACGACGAGAACAGUCGACUUUGAUCGUCCUCCCUCCUUCGAUGCCAUCGUCGCGCGUCGCCGUGGUCGGCGCGGGGGCCGCGGGCCUGGUGGCGGCGCGCGAGCUGCGGCGGGAGGCCACUCGCCUGUCGUGUUCGAGCGCGCAGCCCGCGUGGGCGGCACCUGGCUGUACGACAACGAGGCGUCGGCGGACCCGCUCGGCGCCGGCGGCGUCCACGGGAGCCUCUACGCGUCCCUCCGCACCAACCUGCCCCGCGAGUGCAUGGGCUUCCUCGACUUCCCCUUCGUCGCCGAUGAGGGCUCCAGCUCGAGUGAUCCGCGCAGGUUCCCCGGGGACCAGGAGGUGCUCCGGUACCUCGAGGCGUUCGCGCGGCGCUUUGAUCUCUACGGCCUGAUCCGGCUGGAGACGGAGGUGGUCAGCGUCCGGCGCAGCGGAAACGCGAGCUGGAGCGUGUCGUACUGCUCGAGGAAGCUCGCCGCCGGCCCCAACUCUGGCGGCGAACUACGGGAUGAGGAGGUGUUCGACGCCGUCGUCGUCUGCAGCAGGCACUUCGCGGAGCCCCGGCUCGCCGAGAUCGCCGGUGGUACUGCUCAGCGAUCAGAGAACGGGAUGGACAUCUCGCGGGACAUCGCCGGCGUGGCCAAGGAGGUCCAUGUGGCCAUUCGAGCGGCUCCUGCUGCUGAGAUGCAGAGCAGCACUGCCCAUGCCAACCUGUGGAUGCAUCCCAUGAUCGAUGGUGCCGAGGAGGACGGCAGCGUGGUGUUCCAGGACGGCGGCAGGGUGAAGGCGGACGCCAUCGUGCACUGCACUGGGUACAUACAUCUUGCCGAAUUAAGUCUCCACUGA
rnacentral:rRNA from 1 species